rnacentral:tRNA from 1 species
CAAAUUAAAACUAAGAGUAGUAUUUUAUUUACACUAAAAUUUUUAAUUGUUAAAUCAAUUUAAUUUGA